rnacentral:tRNA from 1 species
CGGGGCGUAGCUCAGCUGGCCGCAGCGGCGGACUCUUAAUCCGUAGGUCGCAGGUUCGAACCCUGCCGCCCCGACCA